GCUCACUUAGCACAGUGGUAGUGCAUCAGAUGUAGGUCUUUAGUGCUUCGAUGACAAAUUUCAUCUACGGUCCUGGGUUCGAAUCCCAGAGUGAGCU